UACGUAGGGUGCAAGCGUUUGUCCGGAAUUAUUGGGCGUAAAGAGCUCGUAGGCGGUCUGUCACGUCGGCUGUGAAAACCCGGAGGCUCGAACCUCGGGCCUGCAGUCGAUACGGGCAGACUAGAGUUCGGUAGGGGAGACUGGAAUUCCUGGUGUAGCGGUGAAAUGCGCAGAUAUCAGGAGGAACACCGGUGGCGAAGGCGGCCAACUGGACCACUACUGACGCUGAGACACGAAAGCGUGGGGAGCAAACAGG
rnacentral:rRNA from 1 species